CGGGUGAGUAACGCGUGAGGAACCUGCCUCAAAGAGGGGGGAAACAGUUGGAAACGACUGCUAAUACCGCAUAAGCCCACGGCUCGGCAUCGAGCAGAGGGAAAAGGAGCAAUCCGCUUUGAGAUGGCCUCGCGUCCGAUUAGCUAGUUGGUGAGGUAACGGCCCACCAAGGCGACGAUCGGUAGCCGGACUGAGAGGUUGACCGGCCACAUUGGGACUGAGCUACGGCCCAG
rnacentral:rRNA from 1 species